ACCAUCAAUCCUACUAUCCCACCUUCUGCUCUCUCUCCCUCUUUCAUGCCUCUACCACAGCCUGUUUUGGUCCCUUUGAUGUUCGAUGAGUGGUAAUGUUGGUUUGGGAAAAACCAACAAAAACCUUUAAUUACCAGGCACCUUUUCCAAAUUACAUGUUUAUAAAAUCUUACUAUUGACCAAGAUUCACGUAAAACGUCUCUGCUUUUGAUGUCUG
rnacentral:lncRNA from 1 species